GAUGAACGCUGGCGGCGUGCCUAAUACAUGCAAGUCGAGCGAACAGAUGAGAAGCUUGCUUCUCUGAUGUUAGCGGCGGACGGGUGAGUAACACGUGGGUAACCUACCUAUAAGACUGGGAUAACUCCGGGAAACCGGGGCUAAUACCGGAUAAUAUUUUGAACCGCAUGGUUCAAUAGUGAAAGACGGUUUCGGCUGUCACUUAUAGAUGGACCCGCGCCGUAUUAGCUAGUUGGUAAGGUAACGGCUUACCAAGGCGACGAUACGUAGCCGACCUGAGAGGGUGAUCGGCCACACUGGAACUGAGACACGGUCCAGACUCCUACGGGAGGCAGCAGUAGGGAAUCUUCCGCAAUGGGCGAAAACCUGACGGAGCAACGCCGCGUGAGUGAUGAAGGUCUUCGGAUCGUAAAACUCUGUUGUUAGGGAAGAACAAAUUUGUUAGUAACUGAGCAAGUCUUGACGGUACCUAACCAGAAAGCCACGGCUAACUACGUGCCAGCCGCCGCGGUAA
rnacentral:rRNA from 1 species